rnacentral:rRNA from 1 species
GUGCAUACAAACAGUAGGAGCCCGUGCUUGCAUGGGUGACUGCGUACCUUUUGUAUAAUGGGUCAGCGACUUACAUUCAGUGGCGAGGUUAACCGAAUAGGGGAGCCGAAGAGAAAUCGAGUCCGAACAGGGCGAAAGUCGCUGAGUGUAGACCCGAAACCAAGUGAUCUACUCAUGGCCAGGAUGAAGGUGCGGUAACACGCACUGGAGGUCCGAACCCACUAACGUUGAAAAGUUAGGGGAUGAGCUGUGGGUAGGGGUGAAAGGCUAAACAAACUUGGAGAUAGCUGGUUCUCUCCGAAAGCUAUUUAGGUAGUGCCUCAAGUAUCACCACUAGGGGUAGAGCACUGUUAUGGCUAGGGGGUCAUCGCGACUUACCAAACCAUUGCAAACUCCGAAUACUAGUGAGUGCGAGCUUGGGAGACAGACACCGGGUGCUAACGUCCGAUGUCAAGAGGGAAACAACCCAGACCGCCAGCUAAGGUCCCAAAGAUUGGCUAAGUGGAAAACGAAGUGGGAAGGCUAAAACAGUCAGGAGGUUGGCUUAGAAGCAGCCAUCCUUUAAAGAAAGCGUAAUAGCUCACUGAUCGAGUCGUCCUGCGCGGAAGAUGUAACGGGGCUAAGCCAGUCACCGAAGCUGCGGAUAUCCUGUAUGGGAUAUGGUAGGAGAGCGUUCUGUAAGCCUGAGAAGGUGUGUUGAGAAGCAUGCUGGAGGUAUCAGAAGUGCGAAUGCUGACAUGAGUAGCGAUAAUGGGGGUGAAAGGCCCCCACGCCGUAAGCCCAAGGUUUCCUGUUCAACGUUCAUCGGAGCAGGGUGAGUCGGCCCCUAAGGCGAGGCAGAGAUGCGUAGCUGAUGGGAAGCAGGUUAAUAUUCCUGCACCGUCGUUAGAUGCGAUGGGGGGACGGAUCGCGGAAAGUCGUCCGGGUGUUGGAAGUCCCGGUUCUUGAUUCGAAGGAGGCUGCUAGGCAAAUCCGGCAGCGUAAUCCAAGGGAUUGAGACGAGUGGCCUUGUGCCGCGAAGCGAUUGGAAGUGGUUCCAAGAAAAGCCUCUAAGCUUCAGUCUAACGAGACCGUACCGCAAACCGACACAGGUGGGCGAGAUGAGUAUUCUAAGGCGCUUGAGAGAACUCGGGAGAAGGAACUCGGCAAAUUGGUACCGUAACUUCGGGAUAAGGUACGCCCUUGUAUCUUGACUGGCCUGCGCCAGGAGGGAGAAGGGGUUGCAAUAAAAAGGUGGCUGCGACUGUUUAUUAAAAACACAGCACUCUGCAAAGACGAAAGUCGACGUAUAGGGUGUGACGCCUGCCCGGUGCUGGAAGAUUAAAUGAUGGGGUGAGAGCUCUUGAUUGAAGUCCCAGUAAACGGCGGCCGUAACUAUAACGGUCCUAAGGUAGCGAAAUUCCUUGUCGGGUAAGUUCCGACCUGCACGAAUGGCAUAACGAUGGCCACACUGUCUCCUCCCGAGACUCAGUGAAGUUGAAAUGUUUGUGAUGAUGCAAUCUACCCGCGGCUAGACGGAAAGACCCCAUGAACCUUUACUGUAGCUUUACAUUGGACUUUGAACCGAUCUGUGUAGGAUAGGUGGGAGGCUUUGAAGCGUGAACGCUAGUUUGCGUGGAGCCGACCUUGAAAUACCACCCUGAUUUGUUUGAGGUUCUAACCUUGGACCGUUAUCCGGGUUGGGGACCGUGCAUGGUAGGCAGUUUGACUGGGGCGGUCUCCUCCAAAAGCGUAACGGAGGAGUGCGAAGGUACGCUAGGUACGGUCGGACAUCGUGCUGAUAGUGCAAUGGCAUAAGCGUGCUUAACUGCGAGACCCACAAGUCGAGC